rnacentral:rRNA from 1 species
AAUAAUAAUAAUAAUAUAUAAAUAUUAGGUCACGAAGUAAGUUGAGCUAAAAAAAAAAACGUAGUAGCGUAUUAAUUGUGUGUAGCAUCACACAACUAUUAUUAUUUUUUAGGGGUGAUAUACCUUACACAACUUACGAUAUCUUGAUUUACAAUAAAAAUAUAUAGUAUUUAAUCAACUUAAAAAUGUUUAGGUUUUUAAGAAUUACUAUAUAUAUUAAAUAUAAUGUAAUUUUUUUAACGAAUAUUACCAAAAUUAUAAUACAAUACUUUUUCAUUAACAUGUUUUUUUUACUGUAAUGUUUUUAUAGUUUAAUAUAAAUGUUAAUAAUGUUAUUAUAAGUAUUAAAAUAAUUUUAGUAAAGGAACUCGGCAUUAAUACAUUUCUCAACUGUUUAUCAAAAACAUUGCCUUACGCCGUUAUGUAAGGUUAACCCUGCUCACUGGAUAUCUAAAGAGCCGCAGUACUUUGACUGUGCAAAGGUAGCAUAAUCAUUUGGCUUAUAAUUGAAGUCUGGUAUGAAUGGGAUUAUGGGAAAUUACUGUCUUAUUAAAGUAAUAAAAAUUAUUUAAUAAGUGAAAAACCUUAUAACAAUAAAAAAGACGAGAAGACCCUAGAAAUUUUGUAUAUAUAUUUAAAAUAUUCUAUUUUGUUGGGGCGACAAGGUAACAUUUUAAACUUACUGUGUAUAUGUGAACUUAUUGAAUAGGAAAAAAAAAUUACUCUAGGGAUAACAGCAUAAUACAAUAGAGUUUAUGACCUCGAUGUUGGACUAGGAUAAGUAUUAUUUAGAAGAUAAUACUAUUAGCUCUGUUCGAGCUUUUUACUCCUACAUGAUCUGAGUUCAGACCGG